ACCAAUUUCAAGGCCAAAGGCUAAGUAUCAUAAAAACCAUAUUUUAGUGCCCUAAAAAGAUGUGGCCUUUACGGGGCAAGGAUUCAGCACGCUCUCCUUCAUUGUCUUCGGAAGGCCUCAUUACUCUUAUUUAAUCCCCAGAUUCUGUUUUUACAGAGGAUCUAAAUUAUUAUUAUUGUAUGGUGGAUUCACAUGAUCAUUCCAAGCCAAUAAACUGCAUAAAACAGCUAUGGUUCCGUUGUAAAUCAUGGCAGUUGGAACACUUCAUUUUAGGCGUUAGAAGGGGAAGCGGCCCUUUUGCAGGGAAUUGAUCACUUCAAAGCAAUGAUCAUGUCAUUUAAAUAAACUUUAUGAAUCCAACAUGCAGUGAGAUUGUAUGAUGGUAAGAAGUUGGAUGGAGAUCUGUAAAAUGUCGAUGAAGUUGUGGUUUGACAUAUUUGAAAACUUUGAACCUCCGGUAUGCAACACUUGUAGGAAUGAAUUUGAUAACAAGGUACAAAUUUAGUCUUUUGAGGUUGUGUGUCUGGCAUUUCCUUAUACAUCAAGGCUGAAAGAUGUAAAGAAGUUUGAUGCAAAUUUGUAAAAUGUGGAGGGAGUUGUGCUUCGACAUGUAGACAUCAAUUAUUUUAAAACAUUCAAGGUUGUAUAUGCAACUCUUCUAAGAAUGAGUUUUCAUUGCAAUGUGCCAAAUUAAUCUUUGAGAUUAUGCAUGUCAGAUAAUCUUUUCUGGGAUUGAGUGGUGAAUUCCCCACCAAAUUCCAGCUGUAUUAGCUGCAAGCGUAUCUGGUGCAUAAAACAUAAUUUUCCAGUUGACCCUAAAAAGCUAUGGCUGACUUCUGAAUUGCAAUUUAAGAAUUCCAAAUAGUGAUUUAAUCGCAAGAUUUCGGAGAAACUGACAGGUGUUUGUAAGAGCAAUGCACUCAUAUGAAAAUGGGUAUAAUAUUCUAAGGUUGACUGCAAUGAAGUAUGGAACUGAAGACACCAUGAUUGAGGACUUUGCAUUUUGAAAGCAGAGAUGCAAGUAUAACUUAUCAUUUGAAAAUGUGAUCUCAUUGGUCAAAUAAUCAAAGCAUAUAAGAUAUCAUGCAUCAGUUGUAAUGUCUUGGGCCAUGUUUCACUUGGUCUGCAGUAUAUGGUGUACUUUGCAUUUUGAAAGCAGAGAUGGAAGGACAACUUAUCAUUUGAAAAUAUGACCUCAUUGGUCAAAUAAUCAAAGCAUAUAAGAAAUCAUGCAUCAGUUGUAAUGUCUUGGGCCAUGUUUCACUUGGUCUGCAGUAUAUGGUGUACUUCUGCGUUUUGAAAGCAGAGAUGGAAGUACAACUUGUCAUUUGCAAGUAUGACUUCAUUGGUCAAAUAAUCAAAGCAUAUAAGAAAUCAUGCUUCAGUUGUAAUGUCUUGGGCUAUGUUUCACUUGGUCUACAGUUUAUGGUGUAUGUGUUAUAUACGGUAUAAUGUCAAUUUCAAUUACAAAAGAACAGUAAUUUGUUCGAUCUCUA